rnacentral:lncRNA from 1 species
CAUAUCCUUCAGUCACCGCCAUAGCUAAGUCACUGCUUGGACUCGAAGUUUGGUUCUCCCAUUUGGGAAUUUUGUUUUGGAGAAGUGUAGAAGCCACCUCUUCCAUCUUGAUAGUGCACUUUCCUACUAAAAGAGCAGUCACCAAAAACUCGAAAGAGGGAGGAAGGGAUGAUAGUAAGACCAACAUCCUGAUCUUCUCCUUAACU